AUUGAACGCUGGCGGCAGGCCUAACACAUGCAAGUCGAGCGGAGCGGCGGACGGGGGAGUAAUGCCUAGGAAUCUGCCUGGUAGUGGGGGAUAACGUCCGGAAACGGGCGCUCAUACCGCAGACUAUCAGAGGAGCCUAGGUCGGAUUAGCUAGGUGGUGGGGUGCAGGCCUACCAAGGCGACGAUCCGUAACUGGUCUGAGAGGAUGAUCAGUCACACUGGGACUGAGACACGGUCCCGACUCCUACGUGAGGCAGAAGUGGGUAAUAUUGGACAAUGGUCGAAAGCCUGAUCCAGCCAUGCCGCGUGUGUGAAGAAGGUCUUCUGAUUGUAAAGCACUUUAAGUUGGGAGGCGUUCCCAUCCGAAUCCUCACCGGCUAACUUCGUGCCAGCAGCCGCGGUAAUCC
rnacentral:rRNA from 1 species